GCCGGUCAGCGCGUCAGCGCGCCGCGGUCGCGUCACUGGAAGGCGCCUGGCAACGGGCGGCGCCCUCAGCCCUUCGCUUUGCCUCGUUCUCCGAGUGUCGGGAAGGGCUCCGCGUCGCCUCGCUUCUUCGGGGCCAUGGGUCCCGCUAGACAUGCUCCCCCUUUAACACUCAACCCCGAUUCUCAGAUCGCUCCGUCGGUCUCCUGACCGCCGCUGCCUUCCACCCCACCGACCCCACACACCCGUUUCCCGCUCUCAGGAGUAGGCUCCGAGUGCAGUGCCCCGGAGCACAGUACCUAUGGCCAAAAGCCUGCCCCGCCCCCUGGCCACGGAGCAAAUUCAAGUUUCCGUGUUCCCGACUGGAGGAAUCAAGCCUCUUCGGCCAACUACUCCUCCGCCCGAGCCCCUGACCCCCUAACUCCCUGCGGUUCUCAUUCCCGCUGCCAAGCUGCUUCCCACUUCCUGGACUUUUAUAAACUUCUCUGCUGUCUCUACACGGACCCUCCAGGAUUACUUUUCUCCCUCACCCUCUUUAGGGAGGAGGAGAAAGAAGCUUCAUUGGCCAAACUUUUUAAUCCCACUACAACUUCCAAAGUUGCUAAGCCAUUUGGGGCAAGUACUGAAAAUGUUCCCUGUCUAAAAGAGGAUAAACUACACUUUCUGCAGUGAGUUGAAGCAGCCUGAGGCCCUCAUCAGAUACAGAGACCCAAUCUUGAAUUUUCCAGCUGACAGAAUUUCAUGAUGUCUGAAGGUACAACAGUGCAACAACCAUCUUUCAACCAAGAGAAGACAAAGAUGAUGAGGACAAAAGAGCCCAUGUGCUAAAAUUGGCCUUUUCAUGUUCUGUGUAAUUUUUAAAAAAACAAUCAUCACAUAUAUUAUUUUUUUAAGAAAACAGUGUCUUCAUUUAAAAUGGGGAUAUAGCAAUACUAACUUAUUUCAAUGGAAGUUUUGGAGGCUUAAA